rnacentral:lncRNA from 1 species
AGAACAAAGGCCUGGAGACUGGAGCGAGCUGCGUUCUUGGGGGUGGGGGGUGGGGCGGCAGCUGGAGAGUGGGGGCUUCCCCAGCGGGAGAGGGAGGACGAUUCUGGAUGGCUUCCCUCCUUGUGGACAGAGUGAGUCUCUGCUAUGAGAAAGUAGAGACGGGGUUUCACCGUCUUAGCCAGGAUGGUCUCGAUCUCCUGACCUCGUGAUCCGCCCGCCUCGGCCUCCCAAAGUGCUAGGACUAACAGGCGUGAGCCACCGCACCCGGCCAAGCUGGAUCUUAAGCUUGCUUACCGGUGACUUGUUGACCUCAUCUUGGCUCAAAGAAGACACGGCCCCAGGUGAGUGCCUGGAGGUUAUUUCCCAUGUGAUGCCUGUUCCAGGGCAGGAAUGUUAGCUCUGUGCUGGCCACCAGAGAAGAAACUGGUGGCCUGGUGACCGCCAGGCCUCUGCCUGCAAGGCUAAAGACCUCUGACAGAUAUUAGGGGGCAGGAUGUGAGUUCAGAUGGAAGCAGUCGGAUCUUCCUGACCCUGCCUUACCUGGCAGUAUCCACCUGCAGCCUCUGCACCUCCUGCCCAGCUGCCAACAACACCUGUGAGCCUGACGGCGUGCCCCACCCCCUCCCCAGGUGGGCGGUCUACGGCAGGCCCCGCCCACCAGCUCUGGCGCAUGCGGCAUGGCCUCAGCGUCUCCCUUCCUGAGCGGACGGCCCACCCCGGAAUUAGCCUCUUCUCUCCCAGGUCUGUGCAAUGCCCAGCUCCUCCUCUCCUGGCCGGCCUGGUCUCUCUUCUGGUCCCUUUCCUCACCGGGCUUUGGGGUUCUAGGGUCCUUGAAGAGAUGGAGACCAGUCAGCCAACUUCAAGGUGGAGGAGUUUGGCUGGAACGAGCAGGUGUGUCUAGUUGGCUGGUGCUAGGGAAAGGGGAGGGCCCUGCAGGGGCGUUGCACCUGUGGAGUAAGCCUUUGCAGAAUCAUACAGUGGGUGGGUAGGGGGGCUGGAUCUUAAGCUUGCUCACUGGUGACCUGUUGGGGCUGGACUGCCUGAGGCUCCCCCUUUGGCUAAGAAUCAGGUGUGGGAGCUACGCCUGCUCCCUGGGAGGGCAGUUCCAUAGGGAUGGAGCCUGAGCAUCUGAAUUUCCAAAGCUCUGCGGUUGACUCUGAUGGACAGCCUGGGCCGAGACCCCCAGGCAAGGCUUCUGGAAAGAGUUGGCCCCGCUCACAGACGGGGAACCUUCUCUGGAACCUGCCCUGGCAGGAGUGCUGUUUUGGGAACGUGGGUUUCAGACUCACACCUCUCUGGGUUUGAGCCUUGGCUCUUCCCUUAAUGACCCUGUGACUUUAGACCAAGACUUCCCCUUUCUGAGCCUCAGAGUCCUUACCAGCGAAAUGGAAGGAGUUCCUCCAUAGCAGAGCCUGCCUGAGGUUGCUUAAUUAAUUAAGCAGAAAAAAUGUUGAUUGUAAAAAUGGGGGGUUCCCUAGGGCCACAGGACCCUUGAGUUCAACUGGAUGCUGGACUCUAGGUGUCUCCUUCCUCUGCCUUCUAGGCCUAUCAAUUCAUAGACCGGGCACCCAGGGAAAGACCAACCUCCAUGUGUGUCUGUUCCAAGUUCCCAAGUUAGGACCUCUGCUGGCUCCUGGUCCUUCACCUGUGCACAGGGGCCUCCUGUACAGUGCAGGGACUGUGGUUUCCCUGCAAGCGCCUGUUGUACUGAGGAGUUGCUAGCUCUGUGCAGAAUACUGCCACGCGGAGCUGGAGGGCAGAGGCACGUCCUCCCAGGUGAUGGGGCAUCCUCUUAAUAUUUGGAGCACAGACAGGACAGUGGCAAGGAGGGUAUGGGCCCCGCACACGGACAGGAGUAGUCUGGGCAUUGCCCUCGGCCUGUCCCCCGGGCCAGGCACCAAGGGCGCAGAGGGAGAGUCAAUUUCUCUAAGUGGAAGGAAGAAGCACUCUUCCAAGGGCUCUGGGCUUUGAAGGCCUUUCCUUAAACGAACAGGAGAGUUUAUUUAUCUUCGGUCAAGCUGUAUAAAUGUCAAAGGGCUGGCGACCCCUUUUAACUUGCAGUGCAGGGAUGGCUAGGUUAUUUGCUCAUGAGUCUGGAAGAGCCCCAGAGGGGAGGGCUUGAGCCCUUUGCCUGUCUGUUCACAUAAUCCAGACAGAGUAGAUGGCCCAUGAUGGCUGCCACUAAGUGACACCUGGCACGACUUAGGUGGCUUCAACACUGUCCUCCACUCAGCACACCACUCCGCCUACUGUUUCUCUGUUUCUCCCCCUUUUUCCCUUGGCUUGUCUCUUUUUUUCUUCCCCCCGCCUUUCCACUGUAGCUGUUAUCAAUCACGAUCCCCGCCCACCCCACCAUGCGCAUUUAUCAGCCCUCAUGAAUGACCAGAGGCUGUGGGCAUGUGGAGAUGGCGUCUCUUUCCAACCUCAGUUCCUGCCAUCUCAGUGAUGGCCCCAAACCUCUAGGCAGGAAAGAACAGGGACCAUGGGAGGCAUUGGAUGGGCACAUGGGACCCCAGCCUCCAAAUGCAGAGCUUCAACUUGCCAGCAACAUUUUUUUUUUUGUUUUGAGAUGGAGUUUCACUCUUGUUGCCCAGGCUGGAGUGCAAUGGCGUGAUCUCGGCUCACUGCAACCUCAGCCUCCCGGGUUCAAGUGAUUCUCCUGCCUCAGCCUCCAAGUAGCUGAGAUUACAGAUGACCGCCACCAUGCCUGGCUAAUUUUUGUAUUUUUAGUAGAGAUGGGGUUUCACCAUGUUGGCCAGGCUGGUCUCAAACUCCUGACCUCAGGUGAUCCACCCACCUCGGCCUCCCAAAGUGCUGGGAUUACAGGCAUGAGCCACUGCACCCGGCUCAGCAACAUUUUUUUACAUUAGGAGGGGAAAAGGCAAUGGGGCUGCAUAGAAAGUCUAAACACUACAUCUACGGACUAAAUCAUUUAAAAAAUAACUUGCGUAUGACUUAUGUUAAUUAUUUUACUUGACAUUAACACACUUACUUGAUCCACAUGUCCUGUUUGUUGAUAAUAAAUAAGUUAUACUGCUAUGACAAAUGUGUAUAUUUUUUCUUUUAAACAUUUUUAAAAGAGAUGGGGGGUCUCACUAUGUUUCCCAGGCUGGUCUGGAACUCCUGGACUCAAGCAAUCCUCCCACCUUGGCUUCCCAAAGUGCUGGGAUUAUAGGCGUGAGCCGCUGCACCUGCCCUGACAAAUUUAUAUUUUAAUGAGUUCAAUCUGAACUGACUUCCAUACAUGUUCUUUUCAGUCAGGGUGAUGGAGGUAUAAUUUGCAUACAAUAAAAUUUUUGCAUUUUGGCACACAGUUCUGUGCGUUUUGAUAAAUGCAGGCAGUCGUUCAACCAGCCCUGUAAUCAAGAUGUGAACAGUUCAUUUGCUCCUCCCAAAACAUUCCCUCAUGUUCCUUUGUAGUCAAAACUCCCUCUCUCCUUGGUCCCUGGAAACUAAUCAUCGGUGAUCUUUCCCUAUAGUUUCGUCUUUUCCAGAAUGUCAUAGAAAUGGAAUCAUAUGGUAGGUAGCCCUUUGAGUCUGGCUUUUUUUCCUUAGCAUAAUGCAUUUGAGACUCAUUCAUGCUGGUGUGUAUAACAGUAGUUUGUUGUUAUUACUGAGUAGCAUCCCAUUGUAUGGAUGUACCACAGUUUAUCUGUUUACCAAGUGAAUGAUGUUUAGAAUGUUUCUGUUUCAUUUUGUUUUGUUUUUUUGAGACAGGAUCUUGCUCUGUUGCCCAGGCUGCAUUGCGGUGGUGUGAUCAUAGCUCACUGCAGCCUCAAACUCCUGGGCUCAAGUGAUCCUCCUGCCUCAGCCUCCCAAGUAGCUGGGACUACCGGCAUGUGCCACCGUGCUUGGCUAAUUUUAAAAUUUUUGGUAGAGCUGGGGUCUCACUCUGUUGCCCAGGCUGGGCUUGAAUUCCUGGGAUCAAGUGAUUCUUUUGCCUUGGCCUCCCAAAGUGCUAGGAUUACAGGUGUGAGCCACUGUGCCUGACCUGCUUCUGGUUUUUAAAGAUGAAUAAGGCUGCUGUGAAUGUUGACAUACCGGGUUUUAUGGGAACAUAUGGUCCCAGUAUGGACUCUUGGGUUGUGUAGUACAUGUAUGCUUAACUUUGUAAGAAAUGGCUGUACCAUCUUGCAUUCCCAGCAGCAAUGAAUGAGAAUUCUGUAUCUCAGCCAAUACUUAAUAGUAUCAGAUUUUUAAAAAAUUCUAAGGCAGGGUGUGGUGGCUCAUGCCUGUAAUCCCAGCACUUUGGGAGGCCAAGGAAGGCAGAUUACCUGAGGUCGGGAGUUCGAGACCAGCCUGGCCAACAUGGUGAAACCCCGUCUCUACUAAAAAUACAAAAAUUAGCCAUGCGUGGUGGCGCGUGCCUGUAAUCCCAAAUACUUGGGAGACUGAGGCAGGAGAAUCGCUUAAACCUGGGAGGCGGAGGUUGCAGGGAGCCAAGAUUGCGCCAUUGCACUCAAGGUCUCCCACCUUUGCUACCACUAGAAUUUGUAACAUCGACGAGUGCAAACCUGAUUUUCUCUGGGUCCCAGGGUCCUUUUUCUUCCCCCUGAAGAUCACCUCAGUUUUUGAAAAGGUGCCCUGGAGGUUCUGCUGUUCUUUAGCUUUGAUGGGUUCUGCAAACCCUGUGAGCUCCUCAGUGCCCAGCAAGCCUGUGAGCAUGACUUUUGUGAGCUCUGCCAGAUGAACGGCUUAGAAGUCCUGGAGAGAGGCACUGGGAAAGCAUUUCCAUGCUCCUCCUUCCUCUUGGAUGGGAUGUGGCCAGAGAACACAGAAACCUACCAGUGAAUAAAGAGAACUCAGUUCUCUACCCUUGGAACCAUCGAGGAGCUGGGAUUUGCUUUAGAGAGGGGCAGCCCUUGGCAUCUCCAUGCUGGGAGUGGAGCUUCUGGCUUCUUAAGAAGUUGGUUACAAUAGGCAGCCUCUGUGCUUUGGCCUGUUUGGAUGUUUUCUGCUGUUCUCAGGUGGAAAAAGCAGAUUUUGUUGCUGCCUACCUUUUGAAGACCAGGAUGGAAUGGAGCUACCUUCUGGGCACUUUCCUCAAAAGGGCCUGUGUGUUCUGGAACCAGGGCCUUCUGAUGCAUGAGAACCAAGGCAGCUAGUGUGUGUGUGUGUCUGUGUGUGUGUGCGUGCGUGUGUGUGCUCAUCUCUAAAAUCUGCCUAUGGCAAGUCUCAGGUGGCUGCUGGCAGCUCCUUGGGGCUCCCUGCUGUUUUGGGUCAUGUCUAGUAACAGAGAGCUUCUCUUUUCCAGCGUUUCAGGCAAAGGUUCCUAGCUUCGCACUAAUUGGUCUGGGUUGGUUGAUGUGCCUACCUUUGAACCCAUUCCCUGUGGCAAAGGGAUGGGAAAUUCACUGACUGGCUUAGCGUGGGUCUUGCGCUGUAUCCCUGGACCCAGGGAUGGAGUCAGCCUUCUGAGACCAACACAGAUCCCCAAUUUAGAAAUGGAGGCUGAGCUGGGCUCGGUGGCUCAUACCUGUAAUCCCAGCACUUUGGGAGGCCAAGGCAGUCAGAUUGCUUUAGCUCAGGAGUUCAAGACCAGCCUGGGCAACAUAGUGAGACCUCUGCCCCUUGUCUGUACAAAAAGUUAAGAAGCAAAGCAUGGUGGCACAUGCCUGUGGUCCCAGCUAGUUGGAAAGCUGAGGUGGGAGGUUGGCUUGAACCCAGGAGGUCAAGGCUGCAGUGAGCCGUAUUGUGCCACUGCACUUCAGCCUGGGCAACAGAGCGAGACCCUGUCUCAAAAAAAAAAAAAAAAAAAAAGAGAGAGAGAAACAGAGGCUGUUGGGAAAAGGGCAUAAAGGGCAUGGAUGCUAGAGAGGAGAUCAACAGGUAUUGUCUUAUGAAGGUUGGGAAGGUCAAGGGCAGGUGGCCACAUCCUUUGAGGUAGAUGCUCACAAGAGGAUUGUGCAGUGUGCAGGUAGAGGCCCACACUGGGUGUGAGUGUGCAGUGUGCAGGUAGAGGCCCACACUGGGUGUGAGUGUGUAGUGUGCAGGUAGAGGCCCACACUGGGUGUGAGUGUGUAGUGUGCAGGGGUGGUGCCCACACUGGGGAGUGUGCAGUGUGCAGGGGAGGUGGUGUGUUGGCCUAGGGACUGUUGGUGCCUCUUACACUCAACACCAGCAGGAAGAUGGCCUCGACUCAGUGACCAUGUGGGUUGGGCCGAGGGCAAACACAAAGACGGAAGCCAGCCCUUGUCUCUGGGGAGCUUAGCUAGGGUGCCCUGGUGGGAGACAGGCUUCCUUUCUCUCAGUUUCCUGGAUCCUCUUCAAUAAAGAGCCCCCCUCCACGGUUCUGCCCCUUACCAAUGUUGUUUCUAGCUCCAUCCCAUCCUUCUACACCCAGAGUGUUGCUUUUUUUUUUUUUCUGUGGCGGAGUCUCACUCUGUUGCCCAGGCUGGAGUGCAGUGGCACAAUCUCGGUUCACUGCAAGCUCUGCCUCCUGGGUUCACGCCAUUCUCCUGCCUCAGCCUCCCAAGUAGCUGGGACUACAGGCACCUGCCACCACGCCCAGCCAAUUUUUUUUUGUAUUUUUAGUAGAGACGGGGUUUUACCGUGUUAGCCAGGAUGGCAGAAUGUUGCUUCUAAUCAAAGCAAUUCUUGCACAUGGGAACAAGUUCCAGCACAGGGGAGCCCGUGAUGGCAAACCACGGCUGUUGAGUGUCUACCCUUAUAUUUCUAAAUCAAAUGCUUAGCUUUAAAUAGCAUCGCUGACCUGACUGUGGACGUGAGUUUCUAGCAUACUCUGACCAUGGUCCUUUGUAUUGCUUGACAUCUAAUUGUUUUAUUGUCUGUCUUUGCAAUUAAGAAAAAUCUAUUGUUAGAAAUUCUUCACUUUGGGAGGCUGAGGCAGGCAGAUCACCUGAGUUCAGGAGUUUGAGACCAGCCUGGCCAACAUGGCGAAACCCCAUCUCUACUAAAAAUACAAAAAUUAGCUGGGCAUGGUGGCACACGCCUGUAGUCCCAGCUACUCAGGAGGCUGAGGUAGGAGAAUUGCUGGAACCCGGGAGGUGGAGGUUGCAGUAAGCCAAGAUUGAGCCAUUGCACUCCAGCCUGGGUGACAGAGCAAGACUCCCUCUCAAAAAAAAAAAAAAAAAAAAGAAAAGAAAUUCUUUAUUCUUCUACUUAUUUCAUCAACAUUAGGUCAUCUACUGGAAAACAUCAUGCAGACUGCCACUGGGAGCCAGGGUCAGACUCUCUGGUUUCAAAUCCUAGGGCCUCUGUUUUCUCCUCUGUGAAAAGAAACUAACAAUCAAAUCUACCACCUAGGGAUGUCUGGAGGAUUCCGUGGCCAAGGCACAUCAAGGGCUCAGCCAGGUGGAGACCCGCGAUUUGGGCCCGUGGGGUGGAGCUGAUCCCUGGGCGACCUCCAGUCCACAGGCCAUGGCCCAGAGGGCAGGAGAGGUGUCACUUUCGUGGCCCCUCAACCAGGCCUGGGAUGGCUGUUUUGUCUGAGCACACCAGUCUUGCCCAAGUCUGAAUGUUCAGCCCUCCUUGUGCCCAAGAUCCUCUGCAGGGGAAGAGAAAAAGAGAGCGAGAGCGAGCACGCCCGGGAGCUGGGCGCCCGGGAGCUGGGUGCCCGGGAGCUGGGCGCAUGCACACUUAGCAUGUCCUCUGCGUACCCAGUGCAGCCGCUGUUAAAAAUAGAACUGUGCUUUGCAGAGAGAUUCUCAAAUGACACCCACCAAGUGCCCAUUAACUCAUCAAAGUGGUGAUUCCAAAUUGAUUAUUUCGAGUGUAAGACAUAAUAACAUGUUCAUCAUGGAAAAUAAUUAGCGGUGGAGUGGGGCCGGGAUGGCCUGCUGCCUGCCUGCCUGGCUCCCCCCUGCAGCCGAGAGGGAGGGGUGGGUGGGCGCCAGGGCUUGAUGUGGUUUUCACUGGGAGAGUUGGUGACUUACGACUAAUACUCACCCUGCCACCCAGCCCCUCCCUUAGCCUGACUGGCCAGCCAGGCCCUCUCCCAGGCAUGGUGUGGGUCUCCUGUAGCCCCCGAGCCCCCUCCACUCUGUCCUGGGCCAGCCUCUCCUUUUUGGCUCCUCCAAGUGGGCAGUAAUUGGCUGGGCUCCAGCUGGGAGCCUGGGUUAUGGUUGACACACAUUUCUCACUUGCCGAGUGCGGGCAGCCGCUGCGCACCUUCACACCGUUUCCUUGGAAACCAAAUUGCUUUGGCAGCAUUCCACGGACACACACACACACACACACUCUCAUGCACAUGUGUGCCCCACGAGAAAAUCAAGUGCUAUGGGAGCUGUCAUCUCACUUGCCCUCCACCCCUUUCCCCUGGAGCCCCUGUGCCCCUGCCAGGCAGCCCUAAACCCAGGCUGAGACCCCACAGGGGGAUGGUUGGAAAUGCUCCCCUCUGGGGAAGGCAGAUGAAGCGUCUCCUAGAAGAGCCGGCGUCUGCUGAGGUAGCAGAUUGAGCAAGAUGUUUAUGGGCACUUAGAUGGGAAAAUGGCUCCUGAGGGUGUGAGGAGAGCAGCCAGCUCAUGAAAUGAGGACGGGGCUCUGGAAGCCUCCCAGCAUCCUCGGAGGGGGCUUUGGUCCAGAUCCGUGUCCCUGGGGGCGAGGUGGGCUGUGCAGGAAGGGCCUCUGCAGCUGCUGCGCCCCUGCCCACCUCUCAGCCAGCUCUCUUCUCCCUUCCCACCUUCCCUUGCUGCUUUGCACGCCCCAGGUAGAAAACAUCGUAGCAGGAAAUACUUGGGAAAAGGCUGUCCUCGCCCUGAUUGGGGGAUGUCCACCGUCACCCGCUCCAGUCCUGGGAAGCUCAUUCCUCCUGCUCAGCUCCAGCUGAGUCCUUCUCCUGGACUUGCCUUCAGCCAGAGACAGUGGGCUUCCCAAAUUCAUGCCGCCCUCCACAGGCAGCUUGCAGCCCACGCUGGCCGGUGCAGGGGAUAAAGGCCUGUGCAGGAGAUAAAGGCUGGGAUGCCAAGAGUCAACUGGAGCAACCUUCCUCACCUCCUCCCCAGCUCCAGAGCUGCCUGUUAGGAUGGCUGAGGCUUUGUUGCAGCUGCAUUGCAGCUGGAUGUCUCCAAACUCCUGCACGCGGAUCUCCAUCUCUGACUCAGCUCCCCAAUGUCCUUCAGCUAACCGUGACCUUCCUUACUUCCAUCCCUUCUUCCGUAAUCCUUUAAACAGCUGCUAUGUGCUGAGCACUGUCAACAAGACCAGGUUCCCAUUUGCAGGGAGCGUGUGUUCUGGUCAGCACAGGUGGAAAAGAAACAGUAAAAAAAAAAAAAGAGGGCAAGAAGUGCCCCCGCAGGGUUGAAAUAGGUGCUGUGCUAGCAAUUGCCAGGGGUAGGGGCUUCUUUCUUUCUUCCUUUCCUUCCUUCCCUUCCUUCCCUUCCUUCCCUUCCUUCCCUUCCUUCCCUUCCCUUCCUUUCCUCCUUACCUUCCUUUUUCCCUUUCCUUCCCUUCUCUUUCUCUUUCUCUUUUUUUGAGGCAGAGUCUUGCUCUAUUACCCAGGCUGGAGUGCAGUGGCGCAAUUUUGGCUCACUGCAACCUCCGCCUCCCAGGUUCAAGUGAUUCUCCUGCCUCAGCCUCCCAAGUAGCUGGGAUUACAGGCACCUACCAUCAUGCCUGGCUAAUUUUUGUAUUUUUGUAGAGACGGGGUUUCACCAUGUUGGCCAGGCUUGUCUUGAACUCCUGACCUAAGGUGAUCCGUCUGCCUCAGCCUCCCAAAGUGCUGGGAUUACAGGCGCGAGCCGCCGCGCCCGGCCUGCAUCAGCACCCACAGUUCUUACAGGGGUCUGGACACUUAGGCACCUUCUGCUUGGCACACCCCAAAAUUCCAGACUCCCAGAAGGAAAGCAGGUGCUCACCACGAGCCACAUUUUUUACACACGUAGCCUAGGCACAGGGAGCCACGCUUGCGUUAGGGAAUGGGCCACGCUUCUGCAAUCGUGUCCCCAGAUGCCGCCAAGGGCUGGCCUUCCAGGCAGGCCUUUCCAAGGGGAGCAGUCUUGGGCCAGAAAUGGCAGCCCUUUCCUGGGCGGGGACAGGGACACCCUUCCACUGUGAAAUCAUUCCAUUUUCCUGCCUAGGAUUUAGUGCCUUUCAUGUGUUUGGGUUCUGCCAGCUGGCGGGGAAUCACGGGGCAAUUUCAGUCACUCAAGUUUCUUUCCCAAUCCAGGAGAAACCUCAAGUCUCACUAAGAAAGUGGUAGAAGGAGAGUAACAGGCUUGGUUUGCAGGGGGUGGGGGUGGGGGUGGGGGUCAAGACCCUUAGACGAGCUGCAGCUCCUUGCUGAGAACGUGCACACACUCAAAAUUUGUGGGGGGCCCAUGGUCCUCUGGGGCUCCUCCGGCACCCCAGGUGAAGCUUCUGAAAUGGCUUUUCCACCUGGACAAUCCCUCCCUCCCCAGGUGGAAGGUGAGGGGGUUCUGCUUCUCCCCGGGCAGAAGCAGAACCACAGCCCCUUUGUCCCCUUUGCCAGAGGCUUCAAGGGGCAGCGUCCCCCAGCGCCCCCCGAGCAAGCUCCCCAUCUGACAAGGGAGGCCCUAGCUCAUCCCAGAAGCAUCAGAGUCAUCCUUCACACUCACCACCAUGCUGAGGACCCAGAGGGGCUCAUGCCUCCAGUGUCAGACAGGAUUGAGAUCCAGGCUGUCUGGCUCCGGGGUCUUAGCCCUGACACUCGACUUCAGAGGGAGUUCUUGCCUGGGAGUGCCUUCAAAGCACAGUCCCUGGACACUUUCCCCUGCGACAUUUAGUCCUUUAAGGAGGCUGUAAGCACGUUGACCUGCCCCAGAGCCAGUCGUGCCCUCACGUCCCUCAGGACGGCCCACCAUGGCCAAGCACAGGCCAGAGAACAGCCUUGUUGUUGGCGUCAGGACUGUUGGCAUCAGGGUCCUGCUUGUCAGGUUAGGAACGUGGUUCCUUUACCUGCACCUCCAGGUGAUGCUGUCUCCAUCCUUAGAACCUGAAGGCCUAGGUCCCUAAAAGUAGCAGCAGCAGCAGUAGUAGUAGCAGUAAUAGUAGGAGAAGGAGGAGCUGAAGACCUCACAAUAAUCAUUGCCCAACCGCGUGAACCAGCCCAUCUUAAGCAUGGAACACACACUGUCGAAUUCUCACACCUCCUUUUGGAGCGGGUUCUCUCAAUUAUCCCAUUUACAGACAAAGAAUCUGAGACUCCAAGGGGCUAAAUGAUUUGCUCAAAGUCAGGGUAAGUGUGAGAACUGGAGCCGAAACCCAGCCUGCUGGACCUGAGCCCCUGACUCUCAACCUUAAGCCACGCUGUCUCCCAUGGAUCCCUCCAGGGCCAGGCAGUUGGUGCUCAAUAAUUGCAUACUGCGUGGAGGUGAGCUGGGCUCUGGGUGUGGCCAGGUGGUGUCCCUGGAGGGCUCAGCACACCUUUCUCAGGUAGGUGGUAUUAGGCAGUGGGCUCAUGUGGUCCUGAUUCAGAGGCGGAGAAUGGGAGUGUUUCAGGGAUGCAGGUAUGAGCCUGGUCCUAGCACGCAUCUCUAGGUGGGGACAGACUCCUCUCAGCCACCCCAUUGCCCAGUGAUAGUUCCUUUGCACUGAUGCUGUCACAUCCUUGUCAUUCUGGGGGAUUAAACUCUGCCCUCUGGAUGUGUUCAUGGGCAGCUCAGUAAUACAAAGAAGUCAUUCAUAAGUUUACUUUGCUUUCGACUGCCCUUUCAUGGUAACGUUGGUUCAAGGGAAUCCUGUGAUUCCCCAAAUGUGGGGAGCAAAUCGAGUCACCAUGAGUCACCUCCCCAGGCUGAUGUCUUCUCUGGCACAUGUGGCCACGGGGGAGCCAGGAUGGGUCUCCUUCCUCACUCCAUCUGCUCGCUGGGUCUUGGUCUCAGGUGCCUCUUCCCUUCACUGCCUGUCUUUUAUUCCUCUGUCUACCCUCUCCUCAUACAGAAAUUGGGAUUUCUCAUACAGAGAAAUGGAGUGAUUGCUCCUGAUUGCACAGCCGGGAGGGCUGUACACUGGAGCCCCUCCUGCUGCAAUUAACUUAUUUUCCACCCCUGCGGUGUGUGGUUCCUGGAGCAACGCCUGCUACCUGCUUCUCUGCCCCAUCCUCUGUGAGGAAGGGUCCAUGCUGUUCCUUUUUCUGUCUCAAAAAUGUGCUCAUGUGCCCCAAGUUGUGUGAACCACCGACUCUGUGCUCCUUCCAGGCCCUGACCAGUGUGUUUGAGCAUUAAAGCUCGCAGGUACAUCAAAGGUGCUCAGUAAAUGCUGGAUAAAUCAAUCCAUGCUUUCCUGGGCUCUCCUGGUGGGAUGCAUUCUUUUAGCUAAGCGUCCCUGCCAGGGGAGUGGUUGGUUUCCAUGAGGCCAGAGGGGGAAAAGCUGGUUGACCCCUAUCCUGGGCAUUCAGAGUCAUUUCCCGCUCCUUUCUGUGGCUGGAACCAGAAGAAUAUAUCUCAGGUCUAAUAGGGUAUGGACUGCAUAAAGCCUGGGAUUUUUGUGCAUUCUGUUCAUGACAAUGUCUCUAGCCUGUUGAACAGCCCAUAGUAGGCACUCAGCAAACCAAUAGGAACUGAGGGGGUCAAGGAAAUGCCCUGUGAUCCCCCUGAAUCCAACCCCUCUGUCUUUGCCCACCUUUCCUCCGUUAAAACACAGCCUAUAUCAAUGAGGGCCUGGGAGAAAACUGGGGUGGGGGAGGACUGUGCCUCUCUUGACCUUCAUUUACAAAAAAUAAGUUGGCUCCUAGACCCGUGUUGGAGCCACACUGCCCGGGACAGCCCUGAAGCAGCCACGUCCCCACCUUUCAGGAGUCGGCCAAGAGCACGGUGGCUGCAGAAGGCCCUGGCUGAUGGAGAUAACAUUUGACAAACAGGUGCUUUUCCAAUUAUGGAUAACAACAGAAAAGCAGUCAUUGGUUUCUAAAAGGUCAUCAAGAUAUAAAGCCCGUUUGGGAAGGGAAUGACUUACGCAGUGGGCUUGUAUAAAUCUGGAGAAGUUUUAUGCACAAGUCGGACAAGAAAUGCUAUUGAGAGUGAAAACAAGCACUGACAUGAACACCCAACCAGCUGCCGGUGACAUCGUCCCCUUCUGAGAUCUGAGGACAUGGAUACCCAACCACCUGCCGGUGACAUCGUCUCCUUCUGAGAUCUGAGGACAUGAACACCCAACCACCUGCCGGUGAUAUCGUCCCCUUCUGAGAUCUGAGGACGUGGAUAUCCAACCACCUGCCGGUGACAUUGUCUCCUUCUGAGAUCUGAGGACAUGGACACCAAACCACCUGCCGGUGACAUUGUCUCCUUCUGAGAUCUGAGGACAUGAACACCAAACCACCUGCCAGUGACAUCGUCCCCUUCUGAGAUCUGAGGACAUGGAUACCCAACCACCUGCCGGUGACAUCGUCUCCUUCUGAGAUCUGAGGACAUGGACACCCAACCACCUGCCGGUGACAUCGUCUCCUUCUGAGAUCUGAGGACAUGAACACCCAACCACCUGCCGGUGAUAUCGUCCCCUUCUGAGAUCUGAGGACGUGGAUAUCCAACCACCUGCCGGUGACAUUGUCUCCUUCUGAGAUCUGAGGACAUGGACACCAAACCACCUGCCGGUGACAUUGUCUCCUUCUGAGAUCUGAGGACAUGAACACCAAACCACCUGCCAGUGACAUCGUCCCCUUCUGAGAUCUGAGGACAUGGAUACCCAACCACCUGCCGGUGACAUCAUCUUCUUCUGAGAUCUGAGGACAUGGACACCCAACCACCUGCCGGUGACAUCGUCUCCUUCUGAGAUCUGAGGACAUGGACACCAAACCACCUGCCGGUGACAUCGUCUCCUUCUGAGAUCUGAGGACAUGAACACCCAACCACCUGCCGGUGAUAUCGUCCCCUUCUGAGAUCUGAGGACGUGGAUAUCCAACCACCUGCCGGUGACAUUGUCUCCUUCUGAGAUCUGAGGACAUGGACACCAAACCACCUGCUGGUGACAUUGUCUCCUUCUGAGAUCUGAGGACAUGAACACCAAACCACCUGCCAGUGACAUCGUCCCCUUCUGAGAUCUGAGGACAUGGAUACCCAACCACCUGCCGGUGACAUCAUCUUCUUCUGAGAUCUGAGGACAUGGACACCCAACCACCUGCCGGUGACAUCGUCUCCUUCUGAGAUCUGAGGACAUGGACACCAAACCACCUGCCGGUGACAUCGUCUCCUUCUGAGAUCUGAGGACAUGAACACCCAACCACCUGCCGGUGACAUCGUCCCCUUCUGAGAUCUGAGGACAUUGAUACCCAGCCACCUGCCGGUGACAUCGUCUCCUUCUGAGAUCUGAGGAUAUGGACACCAAACCACCUGCCGGUGACAUCGUCUCCUUCUGAGAUCUGAGGACAUGAACACCCAACCACCUGCCGGUGACAUCGUCCCCUUCUGAGAUCUGAGGACAUGGAUACCCAACCACCUGCCGGUGACAUCGUCUCCUUCUGAGAUCUGAGGACAUGGACACCCAACCUGCUGCUGGUGACAUCGUUCCCUUCUGAGAUCUGAGGACAUGGACACCAAACCACCUGCCAGUGACAUCGUCUCCUUCUGAGAUCUGAGGACAUGGACACCAAACCUGCUGCCGGUGACAUCGUCCCCUUCUGAGAUCUGAGGACAUGGACACCCAACCACCUGCCGGUGACAUCGUCUCCUUCUGAGGUCUGAGGACAGACACUCACAUGGACACCUAAACACCUGCCGAUGAUAUUGUCUCCUUCUGAAAUCUGAGGACAUGGACACCCAACCAGCUGCUGGUGACAUCAUCUCCUUCUGAGAUCUGAGGACAGACACUCACAUAGACGCCCAAUCAGCUGCUGGUGACAUUGUCUCCUUCUGAAAUCUGAGGGUUGGAACACAUUGGCCUGGCUCAGUGUUUCUCCAUGUGGUUUUGAGACCACCUGAGUUGGAACCGAUAUGGGUUCCCAGCCUCACGCCUGGAGAGCUGGAUUUUGCGAGUGUGAGGUUAGGUCCAGCAUCUGCAUGUGUAACGAGCUCCCAGGUGUUUCGUAGAUGCAUUAGGGCUUGAGAAGCUCCUUUCUAGCACCAUCUUCCUUUUUGCGCAUGAGGGAGUUCAGGUCCAGAGAAAUAAAGCAGCAAGGUUAGUGGCACAGCUGGCGCCCCCUGCUUUCUAGGAAUUUAGAAUAUUAUUGAAGAGAGAGGUAUUAGAACCUGUGAAGUCAAUACAGAGACCUCCAGGCGAGUGGCAUCCUCACUGAAACCACUGACAAGUAUGCUGAAUAGAAAGUGUCAUUUCUCCUGGAAGACCCUCAGUGACCCAGCUGGAGGGUCUCUCCUACUCAUCAGCUGUCCCUCACUCUGCCAUUUCAG